AGUUUCCUGCCCGGUACGUGAUAGCUUAUAAGCGACGUGAACGGACUAUUGAGAACGGGAGCGGGAACUUAGAGAUCGCGGUGUGCAAGCCGUGCGAGUACACGGAAGCCUAAAACGGUCGGUACCGCACCCACCUAGCUGAGCGUUGGUUCAGCGCUGGAGCUACACGGCCAGGGCGGGAUUUUU
rnacentral:other from 1 species